GUGCUGUUCCCGCACCUCGGUGUGUGGGCUGUGACACGGGCAUGGUGCCGUGCCAGGAGCCCGGUGCCGUCCCCAGGUGAUAGUGCUGUGCCAAGGAAUGGCCUCGGCCCUCCUCAGAGCAGUGUGCUGGGUGCUGGCCAGGUGCCACCGCCCCUGAACGCCGCGCGGCCCUGCGCAGGUCUCUGCCUCAGGAACCUCAGAUGGAGGAAUCGAGCAGAAUAGAUGGGGAAUUUGCUUUCAGAACUGAAGUUCAGCAGGACUUGGUUCUCUCCAGGAGUGACAGAAUCCUUCCCAGUGAGCUCCCAGCAUAUUGAAAACUUUCAAAGGAUGAAAGGGAUUGGUUUGGCAGACCUGAAGAGCCUGAAUUAAUCCCCUGGUUAGAGCAUUUGAGUACUGCUGAUGUGGAACAGCACAGCCAGCAACGUAAAGAUGUAACUGUGAAGUUGAAGCACAGUUCACUCAUCUCACAGUUCACAGCUCUGAAGAGCAUAAAUAAAAGUUCUUCCACACCCAGAAAACACCUUCCAGGAAAUCAGUAAACUUCCAGAAAGGUCUGGAAGAUUGCAGAUGUACUCAGUGAUUUACAAAGUAAGUACAUGUCAUCUCCUCUCCUUGCCUGGCAUAUCCAUGUAGGCAUUUAAACUGUAAUCUGGGAUGUUCAGAUGGUCUCUGUCUCAGGGAACUCUUCAGAGCAGCAGCCACUGCACGACAGACACCAGAAAAACUGCUUUUCAUUACUGUGAUUACAGGACUUGUGCUGCUUCAUGUGUUUUUUUCAUUGGAGGUCUUUGUCCCAUGUUGUGCCUCAGGGUGUUGGAAGGGUGUUUGAAGGAAGUGCCAAGGAGAGGAAGGCAGUAAGAUUUCUGAGAGAGAUAAAGGCCAUCUGAUUCAACAUGUUUGUCUUCUCAAAAUUCAGUAUUGCCCCAACUUCCCUCUUUUCAUUACUUCGAGAUAUAGAGUAUUUCAUUAGCUGUAAAUCUCUUGCCUGCUUGUAAACUUAUUUUUGUUUCUCAAAAUCUGGUAAUUGGAGCAUUUGUUCCAGAUGUACAAGAAAUAUAGCAACCCAUGUCCUGAAGCAGCCACUGUUCGUGUUAGAAAAAUAACAGUGGAAUGAAAGCUGGGACUCUCUUCAGAACCUGCCCCACAGAGUAGGGCCAGUCCAUGAGUCAACUAUGGAACCCCCCAGUAGAAAAUCUGUGUGGUUU